rnacentral:rRNA from 1 species
CGUAGGGGGCAAGCGUUGUCCGGAUUUACUGGGCGUAAAGAGCGUGUAGGCGGCCAGGCAGGUCUGUUGUGAAAACUGGAGGCUUAACCUCCAGACGUCGACAGAAACCGCUUGGCUAGAGUCCGGAAGAGGAGAGUGGAAUUCCUGGUGUAGCGGUGAAAUGCGCAGAUAUCAGGAAGAACACCAAUGGCGAAGGCAGCUCUCUGGGACGGUACUGACGCUGAGACGCGAAAGCGUGGGGAGCGAACAGGAUUAGAUACCCUGGUAGUCCACGCCGUAAACGAUGGGUGCUAGGUGUGGGAGGUGUCGACUCCUUCCGUGCCGCAGCUAACGCAUUAAGCACCCCGCCUGGGGAGUACGGCCGCAAGGCUA